GUUUCUUUAACUGAUAAAAAGAACUUAAUGGAGAGGAAGAAUUCCUUUAUAAAAAUGUUAAUAUUUUUUAUUUUAUUUUUUAAAGUUUCUUUAUUUUGAGAUUGAGAGUGAAAGAGAGAGUGCGUGCCUGAGUUGGGGAGGGGCAGAGAGAGAGAUGGAGAGAGAGAGAAUCCCAAGCAGCCCCACACUGCCAGUGCCGCUGGAGCCCAAUGUGGGGCUGAAACUCACGAGCCUCGAGAUCAUAAGCUGAGCUGAAAUCAAGAGCUUAACUGACUGAGCCACCCAGUUUCCCCUAUCGAUAUUUUUUAAAAGCACAUCACUAGGCCUUAGUUUUUCUAUCUAAAAUUAUGAAACCUUCCAGUUUUCUAGCUUUUUAUCUUUCCAAAGUAUGUAGAGCAGCUUUUAUGAAUGGUGGUAGUAGGGGUACAUUUACUUCCUUAUCUGAUUUUUGAGUGACUUUUUUCUUCAUUGAUUUUUUAUAUUAAAAUAAUUAGUAAAGGGGAACCUGGGUGGCUCAGUCGGUUAAGCGUCCGACUUCAACUCAGGUCAUGAUCUCGUGGUCCGUGAGUUCGAGCCCCACAUUGGGCUCUGGGCUGACGGCUCAGAGCCUGAAGCCUGCUUCGGAUUCUGUGUCUCCCUCUCUCUCUGCCCCUCCCCCGUUCAUGGUCUGUCUCUCUCUGUCUCAAAAAUAAAUAAACGUUAAAAAAAAAUAAUAAAAAUAAAUAAAAUAAUUAGUAAAAAUAAGCCCUAUUCAUUUAUUUUUGUUUCAUUGAUUCUUUUAUUUUUUUCAGAUUUUUAUUUAAAUUCCAGUUAGUUAACAUACAGUGCAAUAUUGGUUUCAGGAGUAGAAUUCACUGAUUCAUCACUUACAUACAACACCCAGUGCUCAUCAUACCAAGUGCCCUCCUUAAUAUCUAUCACCCAUCUAGCCCAUGCCCCACACUCCUCCCUCCGUCAACCCUCAGUUCUCUUUCUUUAAGAUUCUCUUAUGGUUUGUUUUCCACUCUCUUUUUUCUUUUUUUCCCCUUCCCAUAUGUUCAUCCGUUUUGUUUCUUAAAUUCCACAUGAAUGAAUGAAAUAAUUUGGUAUUUGUCAUUCUCUGACGGACUUACUUCGUUUAGCAUUAUAUACUCUGUCUCCAUCCACAUUGUUGCAAAUGGCAAGAUUUCAUUCUCUUUGAUGGCUGAGUAAUAGUCCAUUGUACAUGUAUACCAUAUCUUCUGUAUCCAUUCAUCAAUGAAUGGACAUUUGGGCUCUCUCCAUAGUUUGGCUAUUGUUGAUAAUGCUUCUAUAAACAUCAGGGUGCGUGUACCCAUUAGAUUCUGUACUUUGUAUCCUUUGGGAGAUAUCUAGUAGUUCUAUUUUUAACUUUUUGAGGAACCUCCAUACUGUUUUCCAGAGUGGCUGUACCAGUUUGCAUUCCCACCAACAGUGCAAGAAGGUUCCCCUGUCUCCACAUCCUCGCCAACACUUGUUAUUUCUUGUGUUGUUAAUUUUAACCAUUCUGUCUGGUGUGAAGUGGUAUCUCAUUAUGGUUUUGAUUUGCAUUUCACUGAUGAUUAGGUAUGUUGAGCAUCUUUUCUUUUAGCCAUCUGGACAUCUUUGGAAAAAUAUCUAUUGGGGCACUUGGGUGGCUCAGUUGAUUAAGCGACUGACUCUCGAUUUCACCUCAGGUCAUGAUCUCAUGGUUCAUGAGAUUGAGCCUUGCAUCGGGCUUUGUGCUGACAGCCUGGAGCCUGCUUGGGAUACUCUCUCUUCCUCUCUCUUCCUUUCUCUCUGUCCCUCCCACACUUGUGUGCACGUUCUGUUUCUCAAAAUAAAUAAACAUUAUCUUUAAAGAAAAGUGUCAGGGGUUCCUGGGUGGCUCAGUCGGUAAGCGUCCAACUUCAGUUCAGGUCAUGACCUCACGGUUCAUGGGUUUGAGCCCUGCAUCAGGCUCUGUGCUGACAGCUCAGAGCCUGGAGCCUGCUUCAGAUUCUGUGUCUCCCUCUCUCUCUCCUCCUCCCCCACUCACACUCUGUCUCUCAAAAAUAAAUAAACAUUAAAAAAAAUUUUACAAAAGAAAAGUGUUGGAGCACCUGGGUGGCUCAGUUGGUUGAGCGUUCAACUUCAGCUCAGGUCAUGAUCUUAUGGUUUGCGAGUUUGAGCCCCACAUCAGGCUCUGUGCUGACAGCUCAGAGCCUGGAGCCUGCUUCAGAUUCUGUGUCUCCCUCUCUUUCUGCCCUUCUCCCACUCAUGCUGUGUCUCUCUCUCUCAAAAAUAAAUAAACAUUAAAAAAAACUGGAAGAAGAAGAAAAAUGUCUGUUCAUGUCUUCUCAUUUUUUUUAACUGGCUGAUUUGUUUUUUGGGUGUUGAGUUUGAUAAGUUCUUUACAGAGUUUGGUUAUUAACCCUUUAUCAGAUAUGUCAUUUGCAGAUACCUUCUCCCAUUCUGCAUGCUGCCUUUCAGUUUUGUUGAUUGUUUCCUUCGCCAUGCAGAAGAUUUUUAUCUUGAUGAAGUCUCAAUAAUUCAUCUUGGCCUUUGUUUCCCUUUUCUAUGGCGAGGUGUCUGAUAAGAAGUUGCUCCGGCUAAGGUCAAAGAGGUUUUUACUUGUGUUCUCCUCUAGGAUUUUGAUGGUUUCCUGUCUCACAUUUAGGUCUUUACCCACUUUGAACUUAUUUUUGUGUAUGGUGUAAGAAAGUGGCCCAGUUUCAUUCUCCUGCAUGUUGUCCAGUUUUCCCAACACCAUUUGUUGAAGAGACUGCCUUUUUUCCAUUGAAUAUUCUUUCCUGCUUUGUCAAAGAUGAGUUGACCAUAUAGUUGUGAGUCCAUUUAUGGGUUUUCUAUUCUGUUCCAUUGAUCUGUGUGUCUGUUUUUGUGGCAGUACCAUACUGUCUUGAUGAUUAAAGCUUUGUAAUAUACCUUGAAGUCCACAAUCAUGAUGCCUCCAGAUUUGCUUUUCUUUUUCAGGAUUAUUUUGGACAUUCGGGAUUUUUUGUGGUUCCAUACAAAUUUUAGGAUUGUUUAUUCGAGCUCUGUGCAAAAUGCUAGUGGUAUUUUAAUAAGGAUUGCCUUAAAUGUGUCAAUUGCUUUGGGUAGCAUAGAUAUUUUAACAAUGCUUAUUCUUCCAAUCCAUGAGCAUGGAAUGUUUUUCCCUUUCUUUGUGUCCUCUUCAGUUUCUUUCAUAAAUGUUCUUUAGUUUUCAGAGUUGAGAUCUUUUACCUCUUUGGUUAGGUUUAUUCCUAGGUAUCGAAUGACUUUUGGUGCAAUUGUAAAUGGAUCAAUUCCUUGAUUCUUUCUCUGCUGCUUCAUUGUUGGUGUUUAGAAAUGCAGCAGAUUUCUGUACAUUGAUUUUAUUUCCUGUGAUUUUGCUGAAUUCAUGUAUUAAUUAGUUCUAGCAAUUCUUUGGUGGAAUCUUUCAGGUUUUCUACAUAGAGUAUCUUGUUGUCUGCAAAUAGUGAAAGUUUGACUUCCUCCUUGCAGAUUUUAUUUUAUUUCUUUUUGUUAUUUGAUUACUGAGGCUAAGACUUCCACUACUGUAUUAAAUAGUAAUGGUGAGAGAGGACAUCACUGUCUGUAGGGGAAGAGCUUUCUGUUUUCCUCCAUUGAGGAUGCUAUUAGCUGUGAGUUUUUUGUAUAUGGCCUUCAUGAUGUUGAGGUAUGUUCCUUCUAUCCCUACUUUGUUGAGGGUUUUUAUUAAGAAUGGAUGCUGUGUUUUGUCAAAUGCUUUUUCUGCAUCUUCUGAGAGGAUCAUAUGGUUCUUAUCCUUCUAUUAUUAAUGUGGUGUAUCACGUUGAUUGAUUUGUGAAUAUUGAACCAGCCCUGCAACCCAAGAAUAAAUCCCAUUUGAUCAUGGUGAAUAAUUCUUUUAAUGUACCAUUGGAUUCAGUUUGCUAGUAUCUUCUUCAGAAUUUUUGUGUCCAUGUUCAUUGGGGAUAUUGUCCUGUAAUUCUUUUUAGUGGGUUCUUUGGUUUUGGAAUCAAGGUAAUGUUGGCCUUGUAGAAGAGGUUUAGAAUUUUUCCUUUCAUUUCCAUUUUUUUGAAACAAUUUGAAAAGAAUAGGUAUUAACUCUUCUUUAACUGUGUGAUAAAAUUCCCCUGCAAAGCCAUGUGGUCCUGGACUUUUGUUUGUUGGGAGAUUUUUGAUUACUGAUUCAGUUUUUUAGCUGGUUAUGAGUUUGUUGAAAUCUAUUUCCUCUGUUUCAGUUUGGUAGUUUGUAUGUUUUUAGGAAUUUGUCCAUUUCGUCAAGAUUUCCCACUUUGUUGACAUAUAAUUUUUCAUAAUAUUCUCUUAAAAUUGUAUUUCUGUGAUGUUGAUUGUGAUCUCUCCUCUUUCAUUCAUGAUUUUAUCUGUUUGGGUCCUUUCUCUUUUUGAUAAGUCUGGCUAGAGGUUUAUUAAUUAUUAAUUGUUUCUAAGAACCAGCUCUUAGUUUCAUUGAUGUGUUCUACUGUUUUUUGUUUAUUCAUUUAUUUCUAUAUCACUUAUUUUUGUUCUAGUCUUUAUUAUUUCCAUUCUUUCGCUGGCUUUAGGCUGUUUUAUUGCUGUUCCUCUUCUCGCUCCUUUAGGUGUGAGGUUAGGUGGUGUAUUUAUUAUUUCCCUUCUUCUGAUGGUUUUAGGCUUUAUUUCCUGUUCCUUUUCAAGUUUUAUAGGGUUGUGGUUUGAAAAUAAUGUGUGGUAUGGUCUCAGUCUUUUUGUACUUGUCGAGGGCUGAUUUGUGACCCAGUAUGUGAUCUGUUCUGGAAAAUGUUUCAAGUGCAUUCAAAAAGAAUGUGUAUUCUGCUGCUUUAGGAUGAAAUGUUCUGAAUAUGCUGUGAAGUCCGUCCCACCCCAUGUGUCAUUCAAAGCCAUUGUUUCCUUGUUGAUUUUCUGCUUCACUGAUGUGUCCAUUGUUGUAAGUGGGGAGUUAAAGUCCCCUGCUACUAUUGUAUUAUCAAUGAGUUUCUUUAUGUUUGUGAUUAAUUGAUUUAAAUAUUUGGGUGCUGCCACAUUGGGGACAUAAAUAUUUACAAUUGUUAGGUCUUCUGCAUGGAUAGACCCCUUAAUUAUGAUGUAAUGCCCUUUGACAUCUCUUAUUACAGUCUUUGUUUUAAAAUCUAGUUUGUCUAUAGCUACUCCAGCUUUUUUUUGACAUGCAUUAGCAUGCUAGAUGGUUCUCCAUCCCUUCACUUUCUGAUGGUGUCUUUAGGUCUAAAAUGAGUUAUAGGCAGCAUGUAGAUGGAUCUUGUUUUUUUUUUUUUUUUUUUUUAUCCAUUCUGAUACCCUAUGUCUUUUAAUUGGCGCUUUUAAUCCAUUUAUAUUCAGAGUGAUUGUUGAUAGAUAUGAAUUUAGUGCCUUUGUGUUACCUGUAAAGCUGGCAUUUCUGGUGAUGUUCUGUGUUCCUCUCUAGUCUUUGUUGGUUUUGGUCUUUUUUCCCCCCACUCAGUCCCCUUUAGUAUUUCUUGCAGGGCUGGUUUAGUGGUAACAAACUCAUUUAGUUUUUGUCUGGAAAACUCUAUCUCUUCCUCUAUUCUGAAUGACAGCCUUGCUGAAUAAAGUAUUCUUGGCUGCAUUUUUUUCCCAUUCAGCACGUUGAAUAUAUCCUGCUAUUCCCUUCUGGCCUGCCAAGUUUCUGUGGACAAAUCUGCUUCAGAUCUGAUCUCUCUUCCCUUGUAGGUUAAAGACUUUUUUUCCUGGUUGCUUUUAGGAUUCUUUCCUUUUUCUCUGUAUUUUGUGAAUUUGACUAUAUGUUUAGGUGAUGGCCAGUUUUUUGUUUUUUGUUUUUAAUUAAAUAGAAGUUCUCUCUACUCCUUGGAUUUCAGUGUAUGUGUCCUUUCCCGGAAUAGGGAAGUUUUUAGCCACAAUUUGCUCAAAUAAGCCUUCUGCUCCUUUUCCUCUUCAUCUUUUGGGACUCCUGUGAUAUGAAUGUUAUGUUUUAAGAAGUUGCUGAAUUCCCUAAGUCUACCUUUGUGGUCUAAUACCUUUGUUUCCCUCUUCUUUUCAGCUUCAUUAUUUUCGUAAUUUUUUCUUCUCUAUCACUGAUUUGUUCCUCUGCUUUAUCCAUCCUCAUUGUUAUGAGGGUUUGCAUCUCAGUUUUCACAUUUUUAAUUUCAGCCUGACUAGAUUUUCAUUCUUUUACCUCUGCCCGAAGUGAUUCUUUGGUGGCUUCUGUGUUUUUUUCAAGCCCAGCUUUAAUUCUAGUUCAGACAUCUUACUUAUACCUAUCUUGAUUAAAUCCCUGGCCGUAAUUUCUACUUUCUGUUCUUUUUUUCUUUUUUUUAAAGUUUAUUCUUUGUUUUUGAGAGAGGAAAGAGAGAGAGAGCGAGAGAGCGCGUACUGGAAAGCAAGCAGGGGAAGGUCAGAGGGAAGGAGAGAAUCCCAAGCAGGCUCUGCAGUGUCAGCACAGAGCCCAAUAUGGGACUUGAACUCACAAACCAUGAGAUCAUGACCUGAGGUGAAAUCAAGAAUCAGACACAUAACCAACUGAGCCAUCCAGGUGCCCCUCUACUUUCUGUUCUUUCUUUUGGGGUGAAUUCCUCCAUGUUGUCAUUUUGUCCAGGGGUAAAACAAAAACAAAGACAAAAGCAACUAGCUCCUAAGUGUGUUUUGGUCUGCUUGGUAAAAGAAGCUAGAUCCAGAAAAUAACAGGAAAAAAUAUAUAGUUUAUACUUUAAAUAGUAAAAAUAAAUAAUAAAAAAUAAAAAGGAAGCUGGAUCCUAUUUCCUUAGAGCUAAAGCCUUGUAGCACCCUAUAAUCAAUAGACUUGGUAUCUGCCAGUGAUUUUUGCUGGUCUUCUGGAAGAAGGGCUCUUAUGCUGUUUCUCAGGUGUUCUUGCCCUAGUGGAGAUGCUGUCUGCAGGGCGUGUCCGGGCAGGGCUUGGUGUAACGGCUCCAGUCUCCACUUGGUGGCUCUGUUUAGCUCACAGAGGUGGGUCAGUGCUGGUGGGCAGAGGGUGAAAAUGACUUUGCCAUGCUCUCUUGCCUCCAGAGUGGGGAGCUCGUGCCCACCACUCCUCAGGAAGCCCUCACAGAAGAGCAGUCACCCCUCCUGUGUCCCUGGAUUCUGUCAGAUCCCCACCUUCACCCUGUAUCCAAGCUGUCUGCCUGGUAGGCUGCAUAGCCCUCCUGUGUUUUAUCUCAGAUGUGGCUGUGUUUCAAACUUCUGAACUUUAGAGACCCCACAGUCUAACCCUGUGCUUAUCCCCAGGGGGAGGGUCUCCCCCACACUGUGGCCGGUGCCAGUCUGUCCUAGAAAACGGUGGCACAGCGGUUCAGAGUUUAUGGUAAAUCACAGCACAAAGUCAGCACCUAGGUUUGCUGCCCUCAGCUGGUGUCUUUGUUCCUAUGCUGGUGAGCAGGGCAUCUCAGUGGUGCCUGCUAGGUCUUUUGCCCCUGAGGAAACCAUAUCACCUCUGCCAAAUGCACUUUCAAGCAGAGGAACUCUUCCUCCAUGUGACCCAGGGGAUCCUUAAACCACACUGCCUGCUACCUGCCCUCCUUCCCCACCAGAGCACUGCCAGGCCUAACCCUGGCAGUAGCAUGGACCUCCCAAACUUCAGACUCUGCAUUCUGCUAUGAUGAAAAACUUGAAAUAUUUAAACCCUCUCCUGUUUCCCAGUCAGUAGUUUUAGGGAAGAAUUUUUUUGUGUGUAAUUCCCUGCACGUGUUUUCAUAAUUUUUCUCUUUCUCUCUCGCUCCUCUCUUGCUCCCUCCCCUCUGCAACUCCUGUGCCUCUUUUCUCCCUCAAAUCAACUCCACAGUUGUUAUCUUCCACAAGGUAGUCAUUUUUUCUGCUUGUAGAUUUGCAGCUUUGUUCUCUGAGUCUUCAGAUCAAUUUCUUGGGUGUUUAGAAUGAUUUGAUAUUUAUGUUGCUAUGUUCUAGGGAAGAGGUGAGCUAAGGAUUGUCCUACUCUUCCACCAUCUAAACCCUUCCUUUUUUAUAAAAGAUUAAGGAUUUUCAAAAAGAUAGUAGGUAGGGGCGCUUGGGUGGCCCAGUCAGUUAAGCGUCCAACUUUGUUUCAGGUCAUGAGCUCAAAGUUUGUGAGUUUGAGCCCCCUGUUUGGCUGUGGUGCUGACAGCUCAGAGCCUGGAGCCUGCUUCAGAUUCUAUGCCCCUCUCUCUGCCCCUCCCCCACUGUGCACUCUCUCUCUCUCUCUCUCUCUCUCUCUUUCUCUCUCAAAAAUAAAUUUAAAACAUUAAAAAAACCUAAAAAGAGAUACUGGAUAAAUCACAACAUUAUUUUAGUGAAUAUAAAGCAUGUUCUUUCUGUAAAUAGAAAUAGACAUUAAAAAUUAUUCAUUUAACAUAACUCUGAUUUCUAGUGUGAUUAUUACUCCAUAAGAGUCAUCAGAUAUAUUUCCUUAUUGCAUCAUAGAAAUGUUAGUUUAUGAUUAUCUUAAAUCAUCUGUUAUGUUAUCAAUACUUGUUUUGUGUCAGUAGUGUUCUUCCUGGUUUAUAACAUAGUGCAGGUAUUUGUGGAUGCGUGUAGUCUAAGUGAGUUUUGGGCUUAUUUGUACAUUAACCUUUAAGCAACAUAGGGAUGUUAUAAUCAUAUUAUGGGACACUUUAAAGGCUGCCUAUGCAUAUAAAUUAGAAAACUAAGUCACAAGCUAAAUUAAACCAAAUUUUUUCAGUCUUUGUUACCUUGGGCACCAAAGAGGGUCUUUAUGUUUUGCUUCAAUUUUUGAUUUUCACCAGUAGAAAUUCUUCAUGAUAAUUAAUAAGAAACCUUAAACAUAAGCAUAGAAAGAAAUUUUCUUCCUAGUAGCCUUGGAGUCUAUAACAUGAAAUUAAUCAAAAAGCAUUUAAUAAAAGAGUCUUUAGAAAGUAUAUUUAAUCCUUUGGCUUAAUAGUUUCUUGUGAUUAGAUCAUUCUAGGGUAUGCUUUACUCACAAACUAAGGUACUAUUAAAGAGACCACCUAAGGCCUCUCUGGCUCUACGAAAUAAUAGAUUUUUUUCUUUGGAUAUAUAGAAAAUGAAUACUGAUAUUUAUUAAAUUAUGUGAAGAACGAUAUCACUGGGUAUUAUCUGAGUCCAAGGAACACUGAGAUUAUAUAAUAUGCCUGCUGGAUAGUUUUUUUUAUAAAGUCAGAAAAGAUCAGUUCUCCAAGUUGGAUUUUUUCUUCUGAGAAGAAAGCCAAUUUUCCUUGGCUGACUGAUGAUUUCUGUGGCCAUCUUUAGUUUUGGAGCUUAGUGGAGUCACCAUUUCCUGUGGAAGAAGUUCUGCAGUUUAUCCAAUAGAAACCACGCAAAGAGCCCCUGACUGAGAGAGCGUAACUAACAUGGAAGAAACUUGACAGUUUUAAGAUACCUAAUCUUCACAGUUUCAACUUUGAAGAGUCCAAAGAAGUGGAACCUUUAAAGAAGAUACUUGACUGUUAGAAUUCCUUUUUAUUCUUAGAUAGCAUAUAAGAUAUUUCCAUGUAGCAGAAGAAAGAAAUGUUUUUUUCCUUUGGCAAAAUCCUAUUAUAUGGGCAUACCUUGUUUUAUUGGAGUUUGCUUUAUUGCACUUACUAGAUAACCCCCCCCCUUUUUUUUUUACAAAUUGAAGGUCUGUGGCAACCCUAAUUGAACAAGUCCAUUUGGCACUGUUUUUUCAACAGCAUUUGCUUAUGUCAUGCGUCUUUGUAAUAUUUUGGUAAUUCUCUCAAUAUUUCAAACUUUUCAUCAUUAUUAUUUGAAUUUCUGCAAUCUCACAAUCAAGUUUUAACGGUUGAGGAGUUGCUUCUUAUGGAUGAGUAAAGAAAGUGGUUUCUUGAGAUGGAAUCUACUCCUGGAGAAGAUGCUGUGAAGAUUAUUCAAGUGACACCAAAGGAUUUAGAGUAUGACAUAAACUAAGUGAUAACGCAACAGCAGGGUUUGAGAGGACUGACUCCCAAUUUUGAAAGAAGUUCUAUGCUUCAAUGCUAUCAAACAGUAUCACAAGCUACAGAGAAUUUGUUGGUGAAAGGAAGAGUCAGUUACUACAGCCGACUUUGUUGUCUCAUUUUAAGAAAUUGCCACAGCCACCGCAACCUUCAGCACCCACCACCCUGAUCAGUCGGCAGCCAUCAACAUUGAGGCAAGACCCUCUACUAGCAAAAAGAUUGCAAUUUUCUGGAAAGCUCAGAUGCUAAAAAGCAAUAAAGUAUUUCUUAAAUGAGAUAUGUACAAUUUUUUAGACAUACUGCUAUGGUGCACUUAACAGACUACAGUAUAGUGUAAACAUAACUUUUAUAUGCCCUGAGACACACACACAAAAACUCAUUUGACUCACUUUAUUGUGAUAGUCACUUUAUUGUGGUGGUCUGAAACUGAAUCCUCAGUAUCUCCAAGGUAUGCCUGUCCUUUGCUCCACUUAAUUUUUGGAAGACUUAAGAGCCCUUCAUGAGGAAAAAUUCCUGUUUCUUGAGAAUCCCAAUAGCUACUAUUCCUGGUACAAAAGAAUGGAAAAGAAGUAACCUAGCUUGUGAAAUAGAACUGUUUAUAGAUGUCAUUUCCUUAAGACUUAACAUAGCCAUUUUCCUACGUGUAAUCUGUUACUCCUAUCUUGGUCCAUUUCUUUUGUUGUCAUAUAUGAAAACUUUACUCCCCACCUCACAGGGAUGUUGUGAGGCAAAUUUUAAAUGUUCCUAAAAAAAGUGUAGAAUUAAUAACUCUUGACUGUUUCUUUGUUGGUAGUUUCUAUAAUUAUAAAAUUUUGUUUAUUUUUCAAUUUACAAGUGUUUUUUAUAGUUAUAAAUGGAUAGUAGGUAUAUUAAAAUGGAAGUAAGAUAAUGAAAUUGUAAUUGAUUUAUCAAUGAGCAUCCUUGUAUAAUUUAAAUGAAAUGUUGCACUGAUUUUAUUUUUAAAAGAGCUUUUAUAUCAUUUUAAUUAAAGAAAAGCUAAAGUAAG